AACGAACGCUGGCGGCAUGCCUAACACAUGCAAGUCGAACGAGACCUUCGGGUCUAGUGGCGCACGUGUGCGUAACGCGUGGGAACCUGCCCUUAGGUUCGGAAUAACUCCCCGAAAGGGGUGCUAAUACCGGAUAAUGUCUUCGGACCAAAGAUUUAUCGCCUUUGGAUGGGCCCGCGUUGGAUUAGCUAGUUGGUAGGGUAAAAGCCUACCAAGGCGACGAUCCAUAGCUGGUCGGAGAGGAUGAUCAGCCACACUGGGACUGAGACACGGCCCAGACUCCUACGGGAGGCAGCAGUGGGGAAUAUUGGACAAUGGGCGAAAGCCUGAUACAGCAAUGCCGCGUGAGUGAUGAAGGCCUUAGGGUUGUAAAGCUCUUUUAGCCGGGAUGAUAAUGACAGUACCGGGAGAAUAAGCUCCGGCUAACUCCGUG
rnacentral:rRNA from 1 species